UUUAAUAGGAAAUAGGAUCGAAAUAGGAUUUAAUUUCGAUCUCGUCUGAUCUCAGAAGCUAAACAGGGUUGGGUUUGGUUAGUAUUUGGAUGGGAGACCGCUUGGGAAUAUCAGGUGCUAUAAGCU
rnacentral:rRNA from 1 species